rnacentral:rRNA from 1 species
CUACGGAGGGUGCGAGCGUUAUCCGGAUUUAUUAGGUUUAAAGGGUCCGUAGGCGGGAAUCUAAGUCAGUGGUGAAAUCUUGCAGCUCAACUGUAAAACUGCCAUUGAUACUGGAUUUCUUGAAUUAGUGUGAAGUGGUUAGAAUGUGUAGUGUAGCGGUGAAAUGCAUAGAUAUUACACAGAAUACCAAUUGCGAAGGCAGAUCACUAACACUAUAUUGACGCUAAGGGACGAAAGCGUGGGGAGCGAACAGGAUUAGAAACCCUGGUAGUCC